rnacentral:rRNA from 1 species
GAUGAACGCUAGCGGCAGGCCUAACACAUGCAAGUCGAGGGGCAGCACGAUAAAGCUUGCUUUAUUGGUGGCGACCGGCGCACGGGUGCGUAACGCGUAUGCAACCUACCUUGUACUGGGGGAUAGCCCGGAGAAAUUCGGAUUAACCCCCCAUAGUAUUAUUAGAUCGCAUGGUUUGAUAAUUAAAGGUUACGGUACAAGAUGGGCAUGCGUCCCAUUAGCUAGAUGGUGAGGUAACGGCUCACCAUGGCGACGAUGGGUAGGGGCCUGAGAGGGUGGUCCCCCACACUGGUACUGAGACACGGACCAGACUCCUACGGGAGGCAGCAGUAGGGAAUAUUGGUCAAUGGACGCAAGUCUGAACCAGCCAUGCCGCGUGCAGGAAGACGGCCCUCUGGGUUGUAAACUGCUUUUGAUAGGGAACAAAUGCCACUUGCGAGUGGAGCUGAGUGUACCUAUAGAAUAAGCACCGGCUAACUCCGUGCCAGCAGCCGGGU